rnacentral:rRNA from 1 species
UACAGAGGGGGCAAGCGUUGUUCGGAAUUACUGGGCGUAAAGGGCGCGUAGGUGGCCUUCUAAGUUGAACGUGAAAUCCCUGGGCUCAACCCAGGAACUGCGUCCAAGACUGGGAGGCUUGAAUCCGGGAGAGGGAUGCGGAAUUCCAGGUGUAGCGGUGAAAUGCGUAGAUAUCUGGAGGAACACCGGUGGCGAAGGCGGCUCUCUGGGACGGUACUGACGCUGAGACGCGAAAGCGUGGGGAGCGAACAGG